rnacentral:RNase_P_RNA from 1 species
AGGCAGGCAGAACGUGGCUGCCCGCCAUUAAUUCAAUGGCGGGAGGAAAGUCCGAGCUCCAUAGGGUAACGUAAUGGGUAACGCCCAUCUGCCGGCGAUGAGCCGGUAAGGAUUAGAGCUACAGAGACGAUUAAAGGUGAAACGAGCAAUCUCUACGCGGAGUAAGGCCAAAUAAGAGACCAGGGGUAACCCUCCCCACUUGAAGUCUCGGGUAGGCUGCUUGACUCCGGCAGUAAUGCCGGAGCUUAGAGGAAUGGCCACUUAAGAGACGGAUAAUCGCCUCUACACAGAACUCGGCUUAUUCUGUCUGCCUUUAA